CGUUAACCCAGCGACACAGACUGUCUGUCUCCCUUCCUCACUCCAUCGUUAUAUUCAGCACACCGCUAUUAGCAAGUAUCAUAUAGAAGGGACAAUAUGAAUUGACUGCUUUCCCAAGGUGGUCAUCUGCGAAACAGUCGCUUGCAGAAUCAUAACCAACCUUAUGGUUAACACCUUCAAAGAUAAGGCAGCCAUGUUUAUGAUACGAGCCAUGUGUAAAUAUUGUCAUUCAUCAGCAGCUCCGAGUCAGGUUUAUCUCGUUUGUAGCUUUCCUGUGCCGUAACACACGCUGUACCUUUUACGCCCUCAAAUGUGUUUUUAGGAAUGAAAGUCGCUAUCACGGUUGCUGGGAGUGCUAAAUAACGCCACCUUGGUGAUAUGGGAAGGCACCACAGAUGUUCGGGGCACGAUGAACAAUUUGUUCCCGUUGGCCGUUCCGUUUUGACGUGCGUGUACAUAUCCGGAUAAAUAGACACCAAGGAACGCGUACAAACAGGUAAUUCGUAGGACGAGUCACAAGGAGUUCGAUUUUGAGGGGGCACCAAUAUGGCUGAGUCAAAAUAACGCAGGUCGUCCAAUGUUGCUCGAUUCUACCGCUUCAUAGUUUAAAGGCAGUUAACGUUAAGGCCCGGAAAAGAUAACCUGAUGUUAAAGAUGUGAAAGUAUUAUGUUGAAUCGAAGCCCUCACCCGAAGAACAAAUAUGUCACACUUUGAUUCCUGAGACUGUAUCAGGCGAAGGUACUGGCAGGGCAUGAAUCUGUUUUCUGUAAGAGAUGUAUAUAAAUUCCCUCAGGCCGUAAUUAUUUUAGUACGCCUAGUGAGCAGCACUGCUGCUCACAAGAAAAGGAUGCAAAGUUUGUCAUAUUUGAUAAAUACACGCACGCCUACGCAAACCGGCUGCCAGAAGGCGACGAUAACGUUGACGGCACUCACCCGUAAAGCGGAGGCAACGGUAGCACCAGCGCCAUCUGUUGCUCCGAAGCAGCAAUUCGUUGGCGCUGGAAAACGCGACGAAUAACUCGACGGAAUGUAACUAGAUCAAUAAUAAGUACAACAAUUAGAGGAAUAGAGGCUAUAAAUUCAAUAGGGGGUCGACGUAUGAGGAGGAGAUAAGGUUGACAGACAGACAAACAAAAACAAUGAAACAUUAUUGUAGCAAGUUAAGUUUAAAAUUCUGUGCGAAUUUAAGUAAGCUUUGCUUUCAGUAAGGAAUUAUUUAUCUUAGCGGAUUUUCAUGUACCUGUUAUAUAAGUAGACGAUGUGUUAUGGUGACUGUGUUAUCUUGAUUGAUUUGUGCCGUAACCCUCGCAACGGCUCGGGCACGAUUAAGUUACCAUCUAAAGAUGCUUUGCUUCCAUCAAGUUGCGUCGAAGGCGGAUAACUCGAAUAGAAAUGAUAUUGUCUGAAAAAUUCUAUCACACUACAUCAGCGGUGCCAUUUCUAAAGCGUUGGCAGCAUACAUUAAAUGUUGCUAAAUAAUUAUAGCUGUUUUAAAAUUCUAGGCAUGUUAGUCAAUGGUAUUAGCUUUUCAUAGUAAAUAAAGUCAUAAAGUAAAUGUAAAUGAAGAUUUGCCAACUUUUCCCGUUGGUACCCUGCUUAGGAAUAGAGAUCUGCUGUGUUCGUUGACUGUUACGCGGAGCUCUUUCCAUAGGUAGCUUUAAGCGUUACGUCAGAUAGAUCUUCAUUAGAGGACGGCUUGAUGUUAUUGUUGCUGUUGUCCUCGUUUUCAUUGUUGGUAGUGACGCAACUCGGUCUAAUAAUCCUAUUGCAGUUGUUGUUUUGAAAGCUUCAAAUCAAGAUGGCGCAGAAGAGCACCAAGAAGAAGCAGGGCAAACAGGCUUCGGUCUAAAGGCGCAACAACAAGCAAACCAAAAACAGAGUAAAGAAGAGACGAAAUAGAAGAAGGAGACGCUUACAGAGACGACAAUGAUGACACCGAAAAUGAGAAAGCAGUAAACAUUUUGGGGCUGGGCUCUUACAUAUUCAAUUUUCUAUCCUUCUCUAUCAACUGCUGGUACUUUAGUUCACGGGCUGAAGUUCAUUGCUGUUGUAUUUAUCAUCGUGAUGGCCAUGGAUUCGUUACAGAUCUAAAAGAAGUUCUACCCAGCCGAAAAUCAUAGAAUAAGAAGCUAAGAAAGUCUAAAUACAAACAAAAAAACAACAAAUAUGAGAGCUUAAUUUCGACCCCAAACACCCCACACGAAGCUGUGCAAAUACGUAUUCAUCAAUGUGAUUUAUCGUUACCAACUCACGAUAUAUAGACUCACAAAAAAAUUUAAUACUUACAUAAACACCAACGUUUCACACAGAUGUAAAACACACAGACAAUUCAAUGAAUAUUCGCGUAAAUGUGUCGGUAACACUUCAAUAUUGCUUCAUUAAAAUUUGGGUCGAACAGCACUUUACUGGCCAUUAUCGUUGCACCGGGUGACGUCUCGUUCAGCCUAUUGC
rnacentral:lncRNA from 1 species